GGUCAACUGGCUAGUCUACACAGUGCAGAAGUUUCCAAGAAUAUUGAAGCAGAAAAGCAGCUCAAGUUUUUUCAAGGCUGUGUUGCUGCUGCAUUUUCUGAGCGGGACCAUGCUGUAAUGGAGGCUGAAAAGGCUAAGGAAAAGGAGGAGCUUAUUUCAAGAGGAUUUCAUGAACUUCAGCAGAGGAUUGAAGAGCUGCACUGUGAAUUACUUGAAGAGAAAAUAUUGACGGCUACUUUGCAGAGUGAGAUGGACGGGGAAGAGAGGUUGGAUGAGGCUUUCAAGGAGGUUGUUCACAAGUUCUAUGAGAUCAGACAGCAGUCACUGGAGGAUAUUGAAGAAGAUGUGUCCUGGGAAGACAAAUGUGGGUGCCUCCUGCAUGAUUUGUCUGAAAUGUGGACUUUCAGCAAUCCUGAGGAAACAUCCACCUUGAAGUACAUUACAGAGUGCUCUGGAAGAACAAGUGGAGACACUACGAAAAUCUUUGGAUAAUCUUCAGAACAAGCUACAAGUAGGUCUUGAAAUAGAAAAUCACUUGAAGAAAAAAGUGCGCGCACUGGAAAAACAGAAAAUUCUUUCAGAAGAGAAGCUGCGGGCUCAAAUAUCGGCAUUUCGCCUCUAUCAUUCUCAGCAUAAAAUUGAUAUCACGAG
rnacentral:misc_RNA from 1 species